UACGUAGGGACCGAGCGUUGUCCGGAAUCAUUGGGCGUAAAGAGCUCGUAGGCGGUUUGUUGCGUCGGCCGUGAAAACCUGCAGCUUAACUGUGGGCGUGCGGUCGAUACGGGCAUCACUGGAGUUCGGCAGGGGAGACUGGAAUUCCUGGUGUAGCGGUGAAAUGCGCAGAUAUUAGGAGGAACACCGGUGGCGAAGGCGGCGAUCUGGGUAGAUACUGACGCUGAGGUGCGAAAGCGUGGGGAGCAAACAGG
rnacentral:rRNA from 1 species